CCCCUGCUUAUCUUUCACCUUAGGUUUAAUCAUGAAAUAGUAAAACUUCUAACUGGUAAAAUGGCAAUGCUAUUACAUAGUUUGGGAAGGUGUAGGAAGAGAAAAGUAUAUUAUCACAGCUCCAAAGUUUUAUUUUUUUUUUAUAUUUAUUUUUUUAUUUCUGCAGAGUGCAGUUGGUGACACAACUUGCUGGCCAGUACAGUACAAGUCAUGUAUGCUGAUGGUUCUGAAGAAGAGACAAGACAGCAAAGACGUGGCAAGGAACAUCCUUUGGAGACUUACUGAACUGGUGAGCAUCUCUGCACGGUCUGAGACCUGGUUUAGAAUUGGAUGUAGGAAGUGGCAGAGCAUCCUGCUGGUCUUCAAGUUGAGCAGCUCUUGUCAAGUAUGUGGUAUGGCUGAUGCACUGCAGAGGGAAGUAUGGGAGGCAAGUUCCCACAUCCACCUCAUACAUAAUGACUGAACAUUAUUGUGUUGUAAUCCUGGAAGGGUAAUCCUGUAGCUGUGGCUGUUGCUGAGCCAGUGUCCUAGAUGAGCCAUCAUAUUUUACUGUAAAUGCAAGAAAUCUGUCUCUAUUUUUACUUACCUGUGUGAAGUCAUCCUGGCUCUAGGCCAAGAGAUGGCUGUUCAUGUUAACACAAGCAGGGCUAAAAUUUCUGUGAAUGAGUCAUAGAUUUCCGUUGUCUCAAUGAUUCACUGUUUGAUUUACUUGAACCACCUAAUAUUUUGGCAAUUAAGUACCACCAGGAAAAAAUAUACAGAAAACUACUCAGGCUGUUGUUUCUGAGAUGACUACUGAUACAACUAAAGGGCCAUUAUCCUUGUACAAUUGGACCUGUGAAUUGAUAGCAGUAACAGCAAUUUAAUAAGUUGUUUUUGUUUUUAGAGAGGUCAGGCCAGACUGAUUUUACCUACUUUGUAUAGUGCAGGAGUGAUUUCCUCACCUCGAUGUUGUGUCAGUUCUACAUGCAGCAAUCCUGCAACUACAGCUGAAGAAAGAGAGGAGUUGUUCUUUUUUUUGUUUUAAGGGACUUAUGUUAUGAUUGACCUCACCUUUUGCCUUUUAUGAAAAAGAAAAAAAAAAAAAGAUAAAAAUAGAGGACAGACACUGAUGCACAGAGAACGUAACAGGAAUAUUUCCUAAGAAAAACCACUGAACUGCAGCAGUCUAUGUACCAGAAGGAUUUUCAGUGAUUCACAGUUGUAUGUUGAAGUUUUCUCUCAUGUCUCCAGCAGAGAUGGAAAAAGAGACAGAGAAAAGAGACAUCCUUGAAAUUUGAGAGUCCUGCAGUUCAGAGGAAAGCUGUUAGGUGCCUGAUUCCAGUUUUCAUAGCAGUCCAAGAGGGCAAUUUGGCAUUCCUCAGGGUCAUGGCAGCAAUAAAAAGAGCAUAAGGAGAAAAGAAAUAGAUAUU
rnacentral:lncRNA from 1 species